AGAGUUUGAUCCUGGCUCAGAUUGAACGCUGGCGGCAUGCUUUACACAUGCAAGUCGAACGGCAGCAUAGGUGCUCGCACCUGAUGGCGAGUGGCGAACGGGUGAGUAAUAUAUCGGAACGUGUCCGGAAGUGGGGGAUAACGCAGCGAAAGUUGCGCUAAUACCGCAUAUGCCCUGAGGGGGAAGGAGAAAAUCGCAAGACCUUUCGCUUUCGGAGUGGCCGAUAUCGGAUUAGCUAGUUGGUGGGGUAAAGGCCCACCAAGGCGACGAUCCGUAGCUGGUCUGAGAGGACGACCAGCCACACUGGGACUGAAACACGGCCCAGACUCCUACGGGAGGCAGCAGUGGGGAAUUUUGGACAAUGGGGCGCAAGCCUGAUCCAGCCAUGCCGCGUGAGUGAAGAAGGGCCUUCGGGUUGUAAAGCUCUUUCGGACAGAAAGAAAUCGCACAGGCUAAUACUCUGUGUGGAUGACGGUACUGUAAGAAGAAGCACCGGCUAACUACGUGCCAGCCCGCCGCGGU
rnacentral:rRNA from 1 species